GAGGAGCUGUGGGUGGUUAGGCAGGGGUCAUAAGGUCAGGUUAAGUCUGGUCAUGGCAGAUCGUAAGAGUGCACUACUGCUGACAAAGAGCACAAAGUGUGUACUACUACAGACAAAGAGCCCGAAGUGUGCACUUCCACAGACAAAGAGCACAAAGUGUGCACUACUACUGACAAAGAGCUCGAAGUGUGCACUACUACUGACAAAGAGCUCGAAAUGUGCACUGCUGCUGACAAAGAGCCCGAAGUGUACACUACUGCUGACAAAGAGCCCGAAGUGUGCACUACUACAAAGAGCCCGAAGUGUCCACUAAUGCUGACAGAGCUCGAAGUGUGCACUACUACUGACAAAGAGCUUGAAGUAGAAAAAGGGUGAACCAUUUUAUUUGGUCUUUAGUGUACAAUUAAAAUCAUUCAUGAUCACAAGAUGCACAGUACCCAAGUUCGUGGACAGAUUACUUGUCAGUGGUAAUCCCAGGAUAGAUUACUGGUAUAUAAUAUUGCACAUGAAAGCAGUACAUUCAACACAAUGUUCAUUAGAUAAAACAGAGGCCAACACAAACAAGAUGACAACCCCCAACAGAAUGAUGAAACUCCAGUGGGUGUGACUUCAUGCUGUGCUUCCUUGGAUGCUCGAUGAACUUACCAUCCAUACACCAGGAUGACAUCCCCAUCGCUGAUUUUCUCAAUGGCGUAUUUGGAAAUCGCCUUGGCAGCCAGCUGAAUCUUCUCUAUGAUGUACUUGUCGAUGCACGCAAGCAGUCCGGCCUUCGCCUGCGAUUAAAGCAGAGCCACAUACUGAAGGCCUUGAUCUCCAAACCCACACACACACACACACGGUUGCAGCUACACUCAGUCAUACAGCAGCAGCAGAGUUACACUCAGUCAUACAGCAGCACCAAGGCUACACUCAGCCAUACAGCAGCACCACAGCUACACUCAGUCGUACAGCAGCAGCUCUACUGUACUUUGCCCUAAUGUAUGAUUAUUUCUGUAUGUAUGAUUAAAUUCUAACACUCCAUCA